rnacentral:rRNA from 1 species
UGGGGAAUAUUGGACAAUGGGCGAAAGCCUGAUCCAGCCAUGCCGCGUGUGUGAAGAAGGUCUUCGGAUUGUAAAGCACUUUAAGUUGGGAGGAAGGGCAUUAACCUAAUACGUUAGUGUUUUGACGUUACCGACAGAAUAAGCACCGGCUAACUCUGUGCCAGCAGCCGCGGUAAUACAGAGGGUGCAAGCGUUAAUCGGAAUUACUGGGCGUAAAGCGCGCGUAGGUGGUUUGUUAAGUUGGAUGUGAAAUCCCCGGGCUCAACCUGGGAACUGCAUUCAAAACUGACUGACUAGAGUAUGGUAGAGGGUGGUGGAAUUUCCUGUGUAGCGGUGAAAUGCGUAGAUAUAGGAAGGAACACCGGUGGCGAAGGCGACCACCUGGACUAAUACUGACACUGAGGUGCGAAAGCGUGGGGAGCAAACA